GACGUAGGUGGCGAACGUUAUCCGGAGUUACUGGGCGUAAAGGGCGUGUAGGUGGUUUCGUAAGUCUGGCGUGAAAUAUCUCGGCUUAACCGAGGCAGGUCGUCGGAUACUGCGAGACUCGAGGACGGUAGAGGCGUGUGGAAUUCACGGUGUAGCGGUGAAAUGCGUAGAUAUCGUGGAGAACACCCGUGGCGAAAGCGGGUUUCUGGCAGACUCCUGACGCUGAGGCGCGAAGGCUAGGGGAGCAAACGGG
rnacentral:rRNA from 1 species